GACGAACGCUGGCGGCGUGCCUAAUACAUGCAAGUUGAGCGCUGAAGGUUGGUACUUGUACCAACUGGAUGAGCAGCGAACGGGUGAGUAACGCGUGGGGAAUCUGCCUUUGAGCGGGGGACAACAUUUGGAAACGAAUGCUAAUACCGCAUAAAAACUUUAAACACAAGUUUUAAGUUUGAAAGAUGCAAUUGCAUCACUCAAAGAUGAUCCCGCGUUGUAUUAGCUAGUUGGUGAGGUAAAGGCUCACCAAGGCGAUGAUACAUAGCCGACCUGAGAGGGUGAUCGGCCACAUUGGGACUGAGACACGGCCCAAACUCCUACGGGAGGCAGCAGUAGGGAAUCUUCGGCAAUGGACGAAAGUCUGACCGAGCAACGCCGCGUGAGUGAAGAAGGUUUUCGGAUCGUAAAACUCUGUUGGUAGAGAAGAACGUUGGUGAGAGUGGAAAGCUCAUCAAGUGACGGUAACUACCCGGAAAGGGACGGCUAACUACGG
rnacentral:rRNA from 1 species